rnacentral:rRNA from 1 species
CUGGCUCAGGAUGAACGCUAGCUACAGGCUUAACACAUGCAAGUCGAGCGAGGAGAUCCUCGGGAUGAUCCUAGCGGCGGACGGGUGAGUAACACGUGGGCAACCUGCCUCAUAGAGAGGAAUAGCCUUCCGAAAGGGAGAUUAAUACCUCAUAACAUUGCAGUUUCGCAUGGAACAGCAAUUAAAGGAGCAAUCCGCUAUGAGAUGGGCCCCGCGGCGCAUUAGCUAGUUGGUGAGGUAACGGCUCACCAAGGCGACGAUGCGUAGCCGACCUGAGAGGGUGAUCGGCCACAUUGGGACUGAGACACGGCCCAGACUCCUACGGGAGGCAGCAGUGGGGAAUAUUGCACAAUGGGGGAAACCCUGAUGCAAGCAACGCCGCGUGAGUGAUGACGGCCUUCGGGUUGUAAAGCUCUGUCUUCAGGGACGAUAAUGACGGUACCUGAGGAGGAAGCCACGGCUAACUACGUGCCAGCAGCCGC